GUUUCCACUGAUGGAUCCCAUCAAUGACAUGUGCUUUGUUUAACCAGCUAUGAAUCUAUCUACUGUUUGUUUCUUUGGCUUUUUCUCAUAAAAUGAUUUCUCUCUCUAUUCUACUUCCCCAAAGAACCUCACGACGUAGCCCUACCUGGCCUGGAAUUUGCUGUCCAUGCUAGGCUGGCCAUGACCUCACCGAGGCCUGCCUUCCUCUGGCUCCAGAGUGCUGUGAUUAGAGUAGAAUCUCCAGCAAGAGGCAAAAAGAUUAACCCAGAAGGAAAUAUGCCUCUUCCAGAUGCACUAUUGUUUAUUCUGAAAUAGCUAAGCAGUUUGUGUUGGAAUCACCACAAUCAGCUUUUCCUUUGUGGCGAGGCAGCAGCGAACAUGUGUUUGCUUUAUGCAUCGUGUAAUAUGAAGUCUCCCUGUAUACUCGUGGCUUGCCUUAGGCUCACAGAAAUCUUACUGCUUUAGCCUCCUUAGUGCUGGGAUUACAGGUGGGUGGCACCACUCUCCUCUUGCCUGGCAACCUUUUGACUAAAUUAUAUACCCUCAAAUCUACCCCUUCCCCAACUUUGCUAACCUGAGAGUGUAAGAUACAAAUGAGGUAACCC
rnacentral:lncRNA from 1 species